rnacentral:lncRNA from 1 species
GGGAAGGGCUCGUGGGUUAAGUGACUAGAAUAUAAGGACUAAACUGUAAUAAAGUGUUUAGCUGUUAGUGACAGCUGUUGCCAGCUGUGGCAGUUAGAAUAGAUAUCAAGUAUAAAUAGGGAAAUAGCUUAGAGAAGAAGUUAUCGGAAUUUUCGUGUUGAAAACCUGGUUGAGGAACCAGAGAGAUCGUGGGAUCUCUAUGAAACCCUAGAAUUCAGUGUUCUUCCCCAAUUUCCCAAUUCUCUUGUAUUUUCCCCAAUUUGGUAGUUCAGGUUCUGUGCAUUCUCGAUUGUACUCUGUUUUGGAAUUCAAUAAAGUUUCUGGAGAUUACCAGUGUUAUCACUGGUAUCAGAGCACCAUCCUGGUGCCUGAAUCACGCGAUUGUGCUACUCUGAAUGGUCAAGACAAGAACCAUGGCAAGAAGCGAGGGAAGCUGGAACCAGGAGCGAGAAGAAUUGCGACAGGAAACCGAAGGUUUACGCACACGUCUGGAGCUGAAUGAGGCGCGCACGAAGGUGGCUGAGGAUCUCAUUGCAGCGCUGCGAGCAAGGUUGGAGAAUCACGAUCGGGAUUUCUCUGAGGAAGACGAAACCAAUGGAAGAAGGAACAGAGAGGAGCGAAAUCGAGUUCCUAUCAAGAAUCGAUGGAGGAAAUUGGAAAUCCCAGUCUUUUCUGGAUCUGAUGCAGUUGGUUGGACUCAGAAAUUGGAGCGUUAUUUUGCUCUGAGGGAGGUAACUGAGGAAGAAAGGAUGCAGGCAACUAUGGUGGCUUUGGAAGGAAGAGCUCUCAGUUGGUUUCAAUGGUGGGAGAGGUGCAAUCCAUCACCAUCAUGGGAAGCAUUCAAAUUGGCUGUGGUAAGAAGGUUCCAACCCUCUAUGAUACAAAAUCCUUUUGAAUUGUUGUUAUCUUUGAAGCAAGUAGGUUCUUUAGAUGAUUACAUUGAUGACUUUGAAAAAUAUGCUGGAGCAUUGAAAGAGAUAGAUCAUGAUUUCGUGAGAGGUAUAUUUUUGAAUGGACUUAAGGAAGAAAUUAAAGCUGAGGUUAGGCUUUUUGAGUUGCAUACACUGGCUGAGGUCAUUCAGAAGGCCAUUCUUAUUGAACAAAAGAAUGUGGCUGUUUCCAAGAAAGGAGGUGGUUUUGUCAGGUCUGCCAAUUCUUAUAGACAGAAUAACUACAAUAAGGUGGUUACCAUAGAACCACACAAUAGCACAGAACAGAAACAAGACAGUGCAGGGAGUGCUGCUAGGAGUGGGUCAGGCAGUGAAAUUGUGAAGGCUAGGGGAGGAGAUUAUAAACACUUGACUGCUGCAGAAAUGAAAGAGAAAAGAGAAAAGAACCUGUGUUUUAGAUGUGAUGAGCCUUUUAGUAGGGAUCACAAGUGUAAAAAUAGGCAUCUCAGAAUGUUGAUCAUGGAGGAGGAAGAUGACUUAGAGGGAGGGGAGUUUGAAGAUGCUCUCUCAGGAGAAUUCAAUUCUUUACAACUUUCAUUGUGCUCAAUGGCUGGUUUUACCACUAGCAAGUCAUGGAAGAUGAAAGGCAUUAUUGAAGGUAGAGCAGUGGUUGUGCUAAUUGAUUGUGGAGCCUCACAUAGCUUCAUUUCCAAGAAACUAAUUGGAGAAAUGUUGCUGCCAGUGGCUAACACCCCAUCUUUUACAGUGGAAGUAGGGGAUGGACACAAGACCAUGUGUAGGGGAAAGUGCUCUAAACUGAAGCUCAUGAUUCAGACCUUAGAGGUUAUCCAAGACUUCUAUCUUUUUGGUCUUAGUGGUGUUGACCUGGUGCUGGGGUUAGAUUGGUUGGCUAGUUUGGGAGAUAUUAAGGCCAAUUUUGGUAAGAUGAGGUUGUCUCUCAGGAGAGGAGGACAAUGGAUCACCUUGGAGGGAGAUCCUACUUUGACCAAAUCUGAGUUGACCUAUGGAGCACUUAUGCAGGUCUUGUUGGAGGAAGGGGAAGGUUUAAUGGUCCAUUGUGAAAAGGGGACCAAAGGGGACAGGGAAGCCAGCACUGUUCCAGCAGAUUUGUCAAAGGUUUUGGCUGCAUUUGCUUCAGUUUUUCAAGAUUCUCAGGGAUUACCACCUAGGAGAAGGCAUGACCAUGCCAUUCAUCUGAAAGAGGGAGCUGAGAUCCCAAAUCUGAGGCCUUACAAAUGUCCUCAUUACCAAAAGAAUGAGAUAGAGAGGUUGGUGGCAGAAAUGCUAGAGGCUGGGGUCAUAAGGCCAAGUGUGAGUCCUUACUCUAGUCCCAUUAUCUUGGUUAAAAAGAAGGAUGGAGGGUGGAGGUUCUGUGUGGAUUUCAGGGCUCUUAAUAAGAUCACCAUUCCCAACAAAUUUCCUAUUCCAAUCAUUGAGGAGUUGUUGGAUGAGAUUGGGGGAGCUAAGGUGUUUUCCAAGCUAGAUUUAAAAUCCGGAUACCACCAAAUCAGGAUGAAGGAAGAGGAUAUAGAAAAGACAGCUUUUAGAACACAUGAAGGGCAUUAUGAAUUUCUGGUCAUGCCUUUUGGGCUUACUAAUGCACCAUCUACGUUUCAAGCCCUCAUGAAUGAAGUUCUUAAGCCUUAUUUGAGGAAGUUUGCUCUAGUGUUUUUUGAUGACAUUUUGGUUUACAGCCCUGAUAUGUCUUCUCAUGCCAAUCACCUACAACAAGUCUUGGCUCUUCUAGAAAAGAAUUCACUCACAGCAAACCGAAAGAAGUGCACAUUUGGUCAGCAGAGUUUGGAAUACCUGGGCCAUAUUAUUUCAGGGGAGGGCGUAGCAGCAGAUCAAUCCAAGGUUGAAGCUAUGAAGGAUUGGCCUAUUCCCAAAGACAUUAAGGGAUUGAGGGGUUUUUUGGGUUUAACCGGUUAUUAUAGACGGUUUGUGCGGGAUUAUGGAAAGAUUGCUAAGCCCUUGACUGAACUUUUGAAGAAAGAUGGGUUUAAGUGGUCCCAAACUGCUUUGAAGGCUUUUAAUCUGUUGAAAGCAGCCAUGAUCAACCUUCCUUUGUUAGCAGUACCUGAUUUUACUAAACAAUUUGUGGUGGAAACAGAUGCCUCUAGUAAAGGACUUGGUGCUGUCCUCAUGCAAGAAGGUAGACCUCUAGCCUUUUGGAGUCAUGGCCUCUCACAAAGGGCACAACAGAAAUCAGUUUAUGAAAGGGAGCUUAUGGCUUUAGUGCAAGCAAUACAAAAAUGGAGACACUAUCUCAUGGGGAGGCAUUUUGUAAUCAGAACUGAUCAAAGGAGUUUGAAGUUUCUAAAUGACCAAAGGCUGUUUUCUGAUGAGCAGUUUAAGUGGGCUGUGAAGUUAGUGGGUUUGGAUUUUGAAAUCCAAUAUAAACCAGGAAGUGAGAAUUCUGUGGCUGAUGCACUUUCUAGAAAAAUGAUGUACUCUGCCCUCUCUAUUCUUACUACUGCUGAGAAAGAUGAUUGGAAUUUAGAGUUACACCAGGAUCCCAAAUUAGCUAAAGUGAUUCAGGAUCUGCUGAUUUCUCCUACAGCUCACAAGGGGUUCAGUUUCAAGAAGGGAAUUUUAUACUACAAAGAUAGAUUGGUGUUGUCCAAAAACUCCAACAAGAUUCCAUUGAUCAUGUCUGAGUGCCAUGACACUCCAAUGGGGGGUCAUUCUGGCCAUUUUAGGACUUAUAAGAAGAUUGCUAGCUUUCUUUUUUGGGAGGGCAUGAAAUCAGAUAUCAGAAAAUUUGUUGAAGCUUGUGACAUUUGUCAAAGACAGAAGUACUCUACAUUAGCUCCUGGAGGAUUACUACAACCACUUCCUAUUCCCACUCAAGUAUGGAUGGAUGUGUCCAUGGACUUUGUUGGUGGACUUCCCCGAGUCAAAGGCAAAGAUACUAUAUUAGUGGUAGUGGAUAGACUGUCCAAGUUUGCUCAUUUCUGUGCGUUGGGGCAUCCCUUCUCAGCUAAGGAUGUAGCCUUGGUGUUCAUCAAAGAGGUGGUGAAAUUACAUGGUUUCCCUACAACCAUAGUUUAUGAUCGAGAUCCUUUGUUCCUUAGUCAGUUUUGGAAAGAGAUGUUCAGAAUGGCUGGCACACAACUGAAAAUGAGUACUUCUUAUCACCCUCAAACCGAUGGCCAAACAGAGGUGGUCAAUAGGUGCCUUGAGACUUAUCUCAGAUGCUUUGUUGGUCCUAAUCCUAAGCACUGGUUGGAGUGGUUAUCUUGGGCAGAGUUCUGGUUUAAUACCAAUUAUAACAGUUCUGCUGGCAUGACACCAUUCAAAGCUUUGUAUGGUAGAGAUCCCCCUAUACUCUUGAAGGCUGGAGCUAUACCUUCUAGGGUUGAGGAUGUUAAUCAACUAUUCCUACAUAGAGAUGAGGUUCUGGUUGAGCUGAAACAGAAUUUGAUCAAGGCUCAAAAUCAGAUGAAGGUGCAAGCUGAUAAGCAUCGAAGGCCAGUGGAAUUUCAGGAAGGGGAUUGGGUGUAUCUGAAGUUGCAGCCCUACAAACUGAAGUCUUUAGCUUCUAGGCCUGUGGUCCACGAUUCUAUGGCCCUUAUCAAGUCAUUAGUAGAGUUGGAGCUGUUGCAUACAAGUUGGAACUACCCCCUCAUGCUCGCAUUCACCCAGCUUUCCAUGUUUCCUUGUUGAAGAAGGCCCUGAAACCUGAUCAGCAACCACAGCCUCUCCCUCCCAUGCUCAAUGAGGAGUUAGAACUGGAAGUUUCUCCUGCUGAGGUGAUUGCUACCAGGGAGGAUGUGCAGGGCAAUUUGGAGGUGCUCAUCAAUUGGGACACUCUUCCCUCUUGUGAUAAUUCUUGGGAAUCAGCUGCAAGAAUUCAAGACAUAUUUCCCCUGUUUCCCCUUGAGGACAAGGUUCGACUUUUAGGGGGGAGUAUUGAUAGGUUUAGGAAGGUUUAUACCAGAAGGGGAAGGGCUCGUGGGUUAAGUGACUAGAAUAUAAGGACUAAACUGUAAUAAAGUGUUUAGCUGUUAGUGACAGCUGUUGCCAGCUGUGGCAGUUAGAAUAGAUAUCAAGUAUAAAUAGGGAAAUAGCUUAGAGAAGAAGUUAUCGGAAUUUUCGUGUUGAAAACCUGGUUGAGGAACCAGAGAGAUCGUGGGAUCUCUAUGAAACCCUAGAAUUCAGUGUUCUUCCCCAAUUUCCCAAUUCUCUUGUAUUUUCCCCAAUUUGGUAGUUCAGGUUCUGUGCAUUCUCGAUUGUACUCUGUUUUGGAAUUCAAUAAAGUUUCUGGAGAUUACCAGUG